rnacentral:lncRNA from 1 species
CAUAUAUAGAGGAAGAGAAUUAUUAUUUGAGACAAAAGAUCACAAAUUAGACCCUUCACUAAUUCAACAAAUUGAUUAUCCAUAAAAACUUAAAUUAAUUAUAUAAUUGAAAAAAAAAUACUUCAAUACAAUAUUUCAUCAUCAACUUAGAACAUGAAGCUAUUUAAUUGCUGUCAUUACAGGGCCUAAACCUCUUGAGUCAAACAGGUCUGUUUCGAAUGGCAAAAGUCACCAGUUUCACAGUGUCCAUUAUAGCAUCAGGCAUGUGCGGGGUUGUGAGCACAACUUUUCCAAAUUCUCCACUCGUGUGUAUGUACACAUAUUGCACGCAAUUCCAAUAUAUUCUAAUGAGGAAAAAAUAGGCAGUUACAUUUAUAUAUUAUAAUCUACUUAACAACAAAAUAAACUUUUGUAGCAACAGUCUCUAUGAAUAGUAUGUAACUUUAUGUUUAAACAGUGAAUAUACAUGCAUGUAUUGUUUAAAUAAACUUUUGUAGCAACAUUCUCCAUGAAUGAUCAAUAAUUUCGAAUUAAAAGUUUGAGUUAAAUAAAGAAUAAAAAUAUAAAGCAAGACUGCAUGUAAUUGCUUCAUCCUCUGAUUUCGAACCAAGCCAGUGGAAAACCAUGGGAAACGGUCAUGAACAAAGUCCUGGCAUUCUCUGGUGCAAGUUCCCAUGGUCUUGCUGUUACAAUAAUAAAAUUAUAGAAUAAUAUGAUUUUUAUUUAAUACAGCAAGAAUGUAAAUAAACAGAGAAUAAAAUUGAUACAGCGGAAAGAACAGAAGCAGAAUCUGUGUACACGAAAAUCCCACAACUCUUCCACAAACCUAGAAAUUUGGUCUA